AAUAUAAAGAAAAGACGAACAGCUCAGUAACUCUUAUUUUAUUUGAUGUAUUAGGAUUAUAACUAUGUUAAAUUAUAGAUAACAAUAAUACAAUAAGAAUAAGAUCUAUCAGUUAGUUGUUAAGGUAAUGGCUUAACAAGACUAUGACGGAUAACGGUAUUACUUUGUAAUAUUCCGGAGAAGGAGCCUGAGAGAUUGCUACUAAGUCUAAGGAUUGCAGCAGGGGCGAAACUUGACCUAUGAUAUGAUAUUGAGGCAGUUAUGAGUAGUAUUUUUAAUUAUUGUAGUAUUGUAAGUAUAUACUACAAGAUAAAUCGGAGGGCAAAUCGAGUGCCAGCAGCCGCGGUAAUACUUGUUCCGAUAGUGUGUAUGAUGAUUGAUGCAGUUAAAAAGUCUGUAGUUUAUUAUUAAUAAGCAUUGUGAGGUAUAUUGUAUGGUUAGGAGAGAGAUGAAAUGUGAUAACCCUAACUGGAUGAACAGAAGCGAAAGCUAUAUACUUAAAUGUUUUAUUAGAACAAGGACGUAAGCUAGAGGAUCGAAGAUGAUUAGAUACCAUUGUAGUUCUAGCAGUAAACUAUGUUAAAUCAUAGAUACAUUAUUAAUAUGUAUUUAUGUAAAGAAAUUAAGAUUAUAUUGACUCUGGGGAUAGUAUGAUCGCAAGAUUGAAAAUUAAAGAAAUUGACGGAAGAAUACCACAAGGAGUGGAUUGUGCGGCUU
rnacentral:rRNA from 1 species